CCGUAGCUCAGCCGGAUAGAGCAACGGCCUCCUAAGCCGUAGGUCGCAGGUUCAAGUCCUGCCGGG
rnacentral:tRNA from 1 species